rnacentral:rRNA from 1 species
UACUGAUUGCUUAUUGCACCACAUGUGUUUUUCUUUGAAACAAACUUGCUUUGGCGGUGGGCCCAGCCUGCCGCCAGAGGUCUAAACUUACAACCAAUUUUUUAUCAACUUGUCACACCAGAUUAUUACUUAAUAGUCAAAACUUUCAACAACGGAUCUCUUGGUUCUCGCAUCGAUGAAGAACGCAGCGAAAUGCGAUACGUAAUAUGAAUUGCAGAUAUUCGUGAAUCAUCGAAUCUUUGAACGCACAUUGCGCCCUCUGGUAUUCCGGAGGGCAUGCCUGUUUGAGCGUCGUUUCUCCCUCAAACCGCUGGGUUUGGUGUUGAGCAAUACGACUUGGGUUUGCUUGAAAGACGGUAGUGGUAAGGCGGGAUCGCUUUGACAAUGGCUUAGGUCUAACCAAAAACAUUGCUUGCGGCGGUAACGUCCACCACGUAUAUCUUCAAACUUUGACCUCAAAUCAGGUAGGACUACCCGCUGAACUUAAGCAUAUCAAAAGCCGGAGGAA